CUUCGGCGUCCGAGUUGUAAUUUGAAGAAGGUAUCUUUGAGGCUGGCUCUUGUCUAUGUUCCUUGGAACAGGACGUCACAGAGGGUGAGAAUCCCGUGCGAUGAGAUGCCCAGUUUCGUGUAAAGUUCCUUCGACGAGUCGAGUUGUUUGGGAAUGCAGCUCUAAGUGGGUGGUAAAUUCCAUCUAAAGCUAAAUAUUGGCGAGAGACCGAUAGCGAACAAGUACUGUGAAGGAAAGAUGAAAAGAACUUUGAAAAGAGAGUGAAAAAGUACGUGAAAUUGUUGAAAGGGAAGGGCUUGAGGUCAGACUUGGUUUACCAGGCCAGCAUCAGUUUGGGUGGCAGGAUAAUAGCUAAGGAAAGUGGCACGAUUUCGGUUGUGUGUUAUAGCCUUGGUUGAUACUGCCUGCCUAGACUGAGGACUGCGUCUUUGACUAGGAUGCUGGCAUAAUGACCUUAAGCCGCCCGUCUUGACCACCGGACCAAUGUGCUACAGCAGGCGCACUA
rnacentral:rRNA from 1 species